GAUGAACGCUAGCUACAGGCUUAACACAUGCAAGUCGAGGGGCAGCAUGAACUUAGCUUGCUAAGUUUGAUGGCGACCGGCGCACGGGUGAGUAACACGUAUCCAACCUUCCGUUUACUCAGGGAUAGCCUUUCGAAAGAAAGAUUAAUACCUGAUAGUAUGGUGAGAUUGCAUGAUAGCACCAUUAAAGAUUUAUUGGUAAACGAUGGGGAUGCGUUCCAUUAGGUAGUAGGCGGGGUAACGCCCACCUAGCCGACGAUGGAUAGGGGUUCUGAGAGGAAGGUCCCCACAUUGGAACUGAGACACGGUCCAAACUCCUACGGGAGGCAGCAGUGAGGAAUAUUGGUCAAUGGGCGAGAGCCUGAACCAGCCAAGUUAGCGUGAAGGAUGACUGCCCUAUGGGUUG
rnacentral:rRNA from 1 species